rnacentral:rRNA from 1 species
UACAGGAUUCCCCUAGUAACUGCGAGUGAAGCGGGAAAAGCUCAAAUUUAAAAUCUGGCAGUUUAAUAGCUGUCCGAGUUGUAGUCUGGAGAAGUGCUUUCCGUGCUAGACCGUGUACAAGUCCCUUGGAACAGGGCGUCAUAGAGGGUGAGAAUCCCGUCUUUGACACGGACUACUAGUGCUUUGUGAUGCGCUCUCAAAGAGUCGAGUUGUUUGGGAAUGCAGCUCAAAAUGGGUGGUAAAUUCCAUCUAAAGCUAAAUACAGGCGAGAGACCGAUAGCGAACAAGUACCGUGAGGGAAAGAUGAAAAGCACUUUGGAAAGAGAGUUAAACAGUACGUGAAAUUGCUGAAAGGGAAACGCUUGAAGUCAGUCGCGUUGUCCGGAAAUCAGCCUUGCAUUUAUUUGCUUGGUGUAUUUUCUGGUUGACGGGCCAGCAUCGAUUUUAAUCGUUGGAUAAAGGCGAGGGAAAUGUGGCACCUUCGGGUGUGUUAUAGUCCCUUGUCACAUACAACGGUCGGGAUCGAGGAACUCAGCACGCC